GAGAAAAAACCAGGUGCUGAGAUGUUUUGAAUCCGUAUAUCAAGAACAUUUGUAGUUUACAAGAUCACCAAGUUUAAUCCGGAAGUACAUAGAAUGCGUUGGACUGACAAUCCUCGCAUCACUGUUGGUACAAGGCGAUAGAAUGUGUGAACUACAACAUAAACAACCGAAACUGAACUUUGCAGGGGUGCAGCUCGGCGACGACGUGCCGUAGACGCCUCGGCGAGCAAAACCGUGCCGCGCCCGGUGGCAGUGAAGCAGACAGCGCGCAGGUCUCCGGCAGCCUCUGGCAGCAGAAGGAAAACGUCGCGGCGAGCAGAACCGUGUCGCACCCAGAGGUAGUGAAGCGGACGGCCGCGCAGAUCUCCGGCAGCCUCUGGCAGCAGAAGGAAAACGUCGCGGCGAGCAGAACCGUGUCGCACCCAGAGGUAGUGAAGCGGACG
rnacentral:lncRNA from 1 species